rfam:Myotis brandtii contig199018, whole genome shotgun sequence.
GGAAGUUCUCAGGUGACGCACCCCAGAAUCAGGCUCCCUCCUCUCUGGUUCCGGGUGCAUCACCUGAGAACCAUA